GACGAACGCUGGCGGCGUGCCUAAUACAUGCAAGUAGGACGCUGAAGGAGGAGCUUGCUUCUCUGGAUGAGUUGCGAACGGGUGAGUAACGCGUAGGUAACCUGCCUGGUAGCGGGGGAUAACUAUUGGAAACGAUAGCUAAUACCGCAUAAUAGUAGAUGUUGCAUGACAUUUGCUUAAAAGGUGCAAUUGCAUCACUACCAGAUGGACCUGCGCUGUAUUAGCUAGUUGGUGGGGUAACGGCUCACCAAGGCGACGAUACAUAGCCGACCUGAGAGGGUGAUCGGCCACACUGGGACUGAGACACGGCCCAGACUCCUACGGGAGGCAGCAGUAGGGAAUCUUCGGCAAUGGACGGAAGUCUGACCGAGCAACGCCGCGUGAGUGAAGAAGGUUUUCGGAUCGUAAAGCUCUGUUGUAAGAGAAGAACGAGUGUGAGAGUGGAAAGUUCACACUGUGACGGUAUCUUACCAGAAAGGGACGGCUAACUACGUG
rnacentral:rRNA from 1 species